CCAGGUACAGGACCCUGGUAGACAACGUUCUUGAAUAUGGAGAGGAGAAUGACCUCAUCCUCAACACAGACAAGACCAAGGAAUUAAUACUGGAGCCGUACUCUCAACAUUAACACAAAAGUGAAAAAAGCCCAGCAAAGCCUUAUUUUCAUUCGGCUGCACAGGAAAGCCGCCAAUAUUCUAAAUGUCAAAAUGUGCAAUACUAUGUGUGUAAUACCUAGAGUGCUAUUUAGAUUCUCGCCAGCGAGUACUUGUAUUACCACCCUCUGGUUUUGUUAAGUUGUACACCUUUGCCUGUGUAGGGCCGUUUUCCUCUGGUUGUGAUUUACUUGUUUUAGCGCUUCAAAGCUUGUGCUUGGAGAUUAUGAAAAACAGUCACAUGGGUGGAUUCUUAGAUGAAUUUUCUCACGAUCUCAAAAAAUUGCCAGAAAGUAAUGUCUUUGCUUUUCACAUCAGACAUCGAUCAAUCAGUCUAACCUUUAUUUGUCACAUGCAAAGUUUACACCUGCAGUGAAAUCAGAAAUCGGCAAAUGCGAUGAAGAAAUUGAAGAAGAAUGUUUGAUGUAUGGUGAGUAGGUAUACCUUUGUUCCUUAGUGCAAUAUGUGAUUUGACUCUGUCAACUCAAUGCGUGGACAGUGUGGAGGAGUGGUGCUAAAAUCAUUUAUCAUCAUGGGCCACAUACAGCUCUAUUUCAUCUUAAGUCGGCCAGACCAGUGAAGAUUUUGUCUAAUAAACUUUUUUUUUUUUAAAUACACCUCCAAGUUGUUACUUUCAGUGUAAAGGAGAUUAACUACAUCAUUAAUCCUUGAGAGUCUUAACAUUAUACAGUUUUUUUUUUUUCAAGAUUACAAAGAAAUGCUGUUGUAGUAUACCAAAGAAACCUAUGAGAAGGGCUCACUGAGCUCAUACUGUUAAAGAAAUGAAAGAAUUCCUUCUGAAAAAGGGGAAUCCUAUUGUACAUAGUAAAUAGGAAUAACUUUUCUUUCAUUAAAUCGAAUACUAACAAUAAAAAAAUCUAAUAUUUAGCAGUUAAUGCUUUAGCUGGUACUUACUCUAACCAAAAUCUCUGAGGUGUG
ensembl:lncRNA